UACGUAGGUGGCAAGCGUUGUCCGGAUUUAUUGGGUUUAAAGGGUGCGUAGGCGGCUUUGUAAGUCAGUGGUGAAAUAUGGCAGCUCAACUGUCAGGGUGCCAUUGAUACUGCGGAGCUUGAGUACAGAUGAGGUAGGCGGAAUUGACGGUGUAGCGGUGAAAUGCUUAGAUAUCGUCAAGAACACCGAUAGCGAAGGCAGCUUACUAGGCUGGAACUGACGCUGAGGCACGAAAGUGUGGGGAUCAAACAGG
rnacentral:rRNA from 1 species